UACGGCCACAUCAUUUUGAAACACCGGUUUUUGUAUGAUCACUGAAGUUAAGCAAUGUAGAUCCUGGCCAGUACUUGGAUAGUUGACUGCUUGGGAAUGCCAGGCGCCGUAA